rnacentral:rRNA from 1 species
CCAAGGAGUCUAACAUGUGCGCGAGUUUUCCGGUCUUGAAUAGGCCUGGAAAGCGGAAUGAAAGUAAACUGAUGUGAUGCCGGGUGCUCCCGAAAGGGACCCUGGCCGCAGCAUCGGCGGCUAUCGAGGGAUUCCUCUGGUAGUCAGCUGUAGCGCACACGUUGGUACCCGAAAGAUGGUGAACUAUGCCUGGGCAAGACGAAGCCAGAGGAAACUCUGGUGGAGGUCUGUAGCGAUUCUGACGUGCAAAUCGAUCGUCAGACCUGGGUAUAGGGGCGAAAGACUAAUCGAACCAUC